rnacentral:sRNA from 1 species
AUAAUUUUCAAUAAAAAAAAUAUGUAUUUUAAAAAAUUUGUUUAAUCAAAAGAAAAUAUAAAUAAUUACGUGUUUAGCGUUCUUUGAAGUGCGCGCCAAGUAAAAAAAAUAAAUAAUUACUAUUCCAAUCAUGACUAGCGGGAAAGUGCGUGCGUGGGUGUGUAAAUGAAGUUGACCUGCAAAUUAAGAAUUUGCGGAUUCGCAUCGGCUGUCUCGCUUGAGAGCAUAAACCAUGCAGACUGUGGUCUAGUACCGUGAUGCGCCCAAGAGAAUUGAACUGGGUGCAUCCUUUAUGACUUCCCUCAGCCACCUCCUAUCACUCACCACGGCAUCCCUCGCUCCAUGUCUCAGUAGCAAUAGCGACAGAAGGACGGGUUGACCAAUCGCGAGGUCUUCAUGAGGCUCUAUCGUGGUUGAGUGACUCCCGGAGCUGUCUCCCGCGUCGACUCGCGCUCCAUCUCCAAGAUGCCAUAGUGAUAGAAAGACGGGUCACCCAUUGCGAGGUUGACAGCGAGCUCUCCGGCGGUCGAGGCACCCCAGAGGUUGGCAGAGAGAAGUAGCACGAAUCAGCGCGUAAUCCUGCGCACAUCACACUACCGGACUACGUUCAACUGUUCAGCACCCGCGAUAGUGUAAGACCACGAGUCCAUUUCAACAAAGUCCUAUCCGAAUCAUACAGGUAAGACCCUGGUCUGUACUUUAACAGAUGUAAUCCUGGAUGAGGUUUGUGACUUACAUCUUGCGGCUUCAUAAACAGAUGAGAAAAUUUGGCAAUUCCACACAUAACAGGUGUUUAUUGUGGUGUGCGGCCUUCCAGCGGUGGGCAUCCCCCUUUAGAUCAUAUGUAUGACUAUUGUGAAUACAUUUGGGCAUAGGAGGACAACCCUGGGAAUCAUGUGUUCAGUGAUUGAAACGGGUGGAAGAGGAGGAGAAGCCGUCAAGGAAGGCUGGUCGAAAGCCUGCCAUGACGGGAAAUUUGAGGAAAAUGGCCGACUUCCUUGCCGGUUUUGCGCUCUCUUGGACCUUGAAGUUGGAGUUGGCUGGAUGUGAAAACCCGCGUGUAAAAUAUAUUGUAAAAAAAAUGGAGUUUUUCUGCCAAGUGACUGCGGUUAAAUUAUAUGCCCUGUGGCACAAAGCAGUGUGGACAACUCCAACCUUGAUAUAAACACCAUAAACCAAGAACAAAACACCAGAGUAAAAGCAAGAAAAUUGGAUUUUUUUUUAUUUUCUGUGAAUUUGCGUUGAAGAAAUUCUAUCUUUGGAGCUACAACCUAAAUAUAUAAAAACUACAUGCAAAAAAAAAGAAAAAAAAAAGGCUAAAACUACAUGCCGAAUAAUCUUAAAAAUUACGUGUCAGUUAAUCCUAAAAACUACAUACAAUAUAAAGUUACAGCCUAAAAACUACAUGCCAAAUAACCCUAAAGUCUACAUACUACAUAACCUAAAGAUCACUUGCUUCAUAAUCCUAAAAAUUACAUCCUAAAUAAUUCAAAGCUAAAACCUACAAUUUAAGUGAAGCUUAACUUACAAACUGAAUUGAAUUUACAACCUGAAUAGAGACACGGAAAAUAUAUGAAUUAUAAACAAAAUAAAAAAGAAUAACUACAAUACAUCAGCGUCGGUCAUCAGCCACGUCCAGCCACCAUCGCCACUCCAAUCAACGUGGGAGCUCCUGAUGCUUGCAACCUCCCCGGGUUGCAAGGG